GAUGAACGCUAGCGAUAGGCUUAACACAUGCAAGUCGAGGGGCAGCAUGGUCUUAGCUUGCUAAGACUGAUGGCGACCGGCGCACGGGUGCGUAACGCGUAUGCAACUUGCCUCACAGAGGGGGAUAACCCGUCGAAAGACGGACUAAUACCGCGUACACUUGGGAUAGGGCAUCCUGACCCAAGGCAAUGAAAUUCGCUGUGAGAUAGGCAUGCGUCCCAUUAGCUAGUUGGUGAGGUAACGGCUCACCAAGGCGACGAUGGGUAGGGGAACUGAGAGGUGGACCCCCCACACUGGUACUGAGACACGGACCAGACUCCUACGGGACGCAGGAGUGAGUAAUAUUGGUGAAGGAGCGAGGGCCUGAACCAGCCAAGUCGCGUGAAGGAGUACUGUCUUAGGGAUAGUAAACUUCUUUUAUACGGGAAUAACGAGAGUCACGUGUGGCUCCCUGCAUGUACCGUAUGAAUAAGCAUCGGCUAACUACGUG
rnacentral:rRNA from 1 species